CACAUUUCACAAACGCAUGUUUUUUCAUUUCCGUCAUUAGCCAGUGACAACAAUGGGGGUGGCAAGUGGAAUCAGGUGACAGCACUUGGACGUUACAAGCUGCAGCGAGACAGGAGUAACGGGACUAUGGAUAAAUGAAUGCAUUCAAAUCCGACCAAUGAGAAGUGAGAAAUAUCCAUGAGUCUCCUCCUGGGUGUUACUGCUGAGGCCGAAGGAUUGUGAUUCGACCACUCGACGGGUACUUGAAAUGUUUCGACGCUCUCAAUUAAAGUAAGAUUUUUCUGAACUUCAAGAAAAGUCUGUAGCUGCAAGUCAAUGAUGAUACAGCAGCCAAAGUAUAGCCUGUGUGGCCAAUUUAUUUAGAAUGUACAAGACAGGAUAAAACAAAAAAACUUAUUUGGCCAUGAAUGAAAAAGACUUGCACUGACACACAGAAGAAAUAUCUGCAAAAAAUCAAAUAGUCAUACAAACUGGACCACCAUGUUCUUACAAAUCCUGUUCCUAAUAUGUUCAGUUUGUAAUACUCAUGGUGUUGCUAGUACUGCAUCACCAUCGUGUGCCAGUGAUGAAUACAGAGCGGGACAGCUCUGCUGCCUUUCAUGUCCUGGUGGAUAUAGGGUUCAUAGGGAUUGCAAGCGACAGCCAUUACAUUGUGCUCAAAGUGUCCCGAUGAUACUUUCAAAGAAGGCCUUAGCGGACAGAAGCAGUGCUCUGCCUGUACAAAGUGUGUCACAGGUCAGAUAGUGAAGAAGUCAUGUACUCCAACAUCAGAUGCUGAGUGUGAGAUCCAGGAUGGAUUCUUCUGUAGUGACUCAGCAGAUAAAGACACAUUCUCAGAGGCCACAUUGUCAUGCCAACCCCACACGAUAUGUGAUUCUGUGGGAGGGGUGCAGAUACAACAAGGAACUGAUUCCACUGAUUCUACAUGUCUUAAAUAUGUGGCAAUUGCGUUCAUAAUAAUAGGAUGCAUAUGUUUCAUCAUUUUGUUAGUCCUGGGAGGUAAGCGUUACAUUCAACUAUUAAUGUAUCAUGUUACAUUCAACUCUUAACAUGUAUCAUGGUUGCAAUAACCUUACAUUUAUCAUAUUGCAUUCAACUCUGACAAGUAUCAUGGUUACAUUAAACUCUAACAUGUAUCAUGGUUACAUUCAACUAACAUAUGUAUCAUAGUUACAUUAAACUAGCAUGUAUCAUGCUUACAUUAAACUAACAUGUAUCAUGCUUACAUUAAACUAACAUGUUUUCAAAUUAUGCUGAAUGAUGGUGACCUCUGUCCUGACAUGUGUUGUUUAUCACUUUAUAGCAUAAUUUUAUAGCCUACGCUGAAAAUGGAAAGGGAUUUAACUGAAUGGGAAAAACAAAUAGAUGAGAUGGAAACCCGGGACCAGGUGUU
ensembl:lncRNA